rnacentral:rRNA from 1 species
ACUCCUGCGGGAGGCAGCAGUGGGGAAUAUUGCACAAUGGGCGCAAGCCUGAUGCAGCCAUGCCGCGUGUGUGAAGAAGGCCUUCGGGUUGUAAAGCACUUUCAGCGGGGAGGAAGGCAAUGCGGUUAAUAACCGUGUUGAUUGACGUUACCCGCAGAAGAAGCACCGGCUGACUCCGUGCCAGCAGCCGCGGUAAUACGGAGGGUGCAAGCGUUAAUCGGAAUUACUGGGCGUAAAGCGCACGCAGGCGGUCUGUCAAGUCGGAUGUGAAAUCCCCGGGCUCAACCUGGGAACUGCAUUCGAAACUGGCAGGCUUGAUUCUUGUAGAGGGGGGUAGAAUUCCAGGUGUAGCGGUGAAAUGCGUAGAGAUCUGGAGGAAUACCGGUGGCGAAGGCGGCCCCCUGGACAAAGACUGACGCUCAGGUGCGAAAGCGUGGGGAGCAAACAGGAUUAGAUACCCCGGUAGUCCC